UGUGUGUGCAAGGUGGUGGCCUUCAAGUCCAGUAUAUUUGCAUUUAUUGCGGGAAUUCUAUUUGCUACACAUCUUGUCCAUACAGAAGCUAUCAUGAAGAUCAAAAUGCACAUGAUUCAGUUUAUCAUAUAAAUUACAUUGGAACUUCUGUGAACUGUUUCCUUACUUGCUGAGUACAAAAAAACUAUGAGAGAUCACAAGACAUUGGAGCUACAGUUUAGAUAUAGUAAGGAGAAAUUCUGUCUUGGUCACUCAUGAAAG